UACGUAGGGUGCGAGCGUUAAUCGGAAUUACUGGGCGUAAAGUGUGCGCAGGCGGCGCUGCAAGUCGAGUGUGAAAUCCCCGAGCUUAACUUGGGAAUUGCGCUCGAAACUACGGCGCUGGAGUAUGGCAGAGGAAGGUGGAAUUCCACGUGUAGCGGUGAAAUGCGUAGAGAUGUGGAGGAACACCGAUGGCGAAGGCAGGUCUCUGGGCAUUAACUGACGCUGAGGAGCGAAAGCAUGGGGAGCGAACAGG
rnacentral:rRNA from 1 species